AGGUCUCUUCAUUCCGCCAUUCGGUGACAGCGGAUCAUAAAAAAUAAAUGGAUUUUUUGCGGGACACAAAACCCUCCCAUCGAACAUCUUGACACUGAUGGAGGAUGUGGGAUGCAGAGACAAAAUUGAUGGGAGAU
ensembl:ncRNA H03A11.8 ncRNA